CUGGGAGAAGUACCACUGAGCCAGGAGAGCUGGGGAUGGGAGGUUUCAUGGUGUACUGUGACCCAGCCAACCUCUUCUGUGUGUAGGUUAUUUGACCUGAUGAUUUUUGGGAGGUUUGAAGUCCAUUCCAGCUGGAAUCUGUGGUGUUAGAAGGCUUGGUGGAGCAAGCUUUUGAAGUCUCUGACUUGGUGUUCCGAGCAAACCAAACCUUGUUGGGUGUUGGCUUGGUGGUGGUGAUGGUUGGAGUCUUGAAUGUCUUCUUUCGGGAACUGCUCCACUUCUUGGGAUGAGAUGCAUGUGGUUUCUCUUGUAACUAUCCACUGCUCCAGCCCUGGGUGAGGGAAGAUAAAAACUGAUUUUAGGAAACAUCCUCGAAAGAGAUGGAAGUGCAAACGUUGUGCAACAAAGAAGUUGAAAGGAACCAGCUACGGAAUGGCAAAAAUCAAAACACAGGAGCUGUUAUGUACAUCAGAAAAUCUAUUCUCUUUGGACUUGCAGCACUUUGCCCACGGAUUCCUGCUGCCAUCCCACAAGCUCCUAAUAGAACUUGAGUAUGGCUGUGAUGCGGUGUGACUUUUUGAAGACCUCUGAUCUUGGCAAGUCUGUGCUUCAAAGUUGAACUUAAAAAACCCCACAGAUUGCAGUUCACGUUCUUAAAAUGUUGCAUCCUGCUCCGAGUGUGAAAUUUUGCGACGUGCUGUUUAUAUAUCUGUAUAUUUAAAUCAA